rnacentral:rRNA from 1 species
AAUGUGAGGGGCAUGUGAGGUCUGUCGCUGACUCAAAGUCGUGCACGCCCGAGCAUGUCCUCUCGCAUAAUAAUCCAUCUCACCCUUUGUGCAUCGCCGCGUGGGCACCCUUUGGGAUCGUCUCGGAGGGGGCUCGCGUUUUCACACAAACCCCCCUUUUAAAAGUGUAGAAUGACCUCAUUUAUGCGCUAACCCGCAAUCAAUACAACUUUCAACAACGGAUCUCUUGGCUCUCGCAUCGAUGAAGAACGCAGCGAAAUGCGAUACGUAAUGUGAAUUGCAGAAUUCAGUGAAUCAUCGAAUCUUUGAACGCACCUUGCGCCCCUUGGUAUUCCGAGGGGCACACCCGUUUGAGUGUCGUGAAAACCUCAACCUCCUUGGUUUCUUCUGGAGACCAAAGCAGGCUUGGACUUUGGAGGCCUUUGCUGGCACCUCUCUCUUUUGAAGGUCAGCUCCUCUUAAAUGAAUUAGCAGGGUCCUCUUUGCCGAUCCUCGACGUGUGAUAAGAUGUUUCCAUGUCUUGGUUUCUGGCUCUGUCACUUUUGGGACCCGCUUCUAACCGUCUUGACCUUGCAUCGAGACAAUGUUCGAGCAUGCCUCCCUUCUC